UACAGAGGUCUCGAGCGUUAGGCGGAAUCACUGGGCUUAAAGCGUGUGUAGGCGGAUCGUUAAGUGCCUUGUGAAAUCCCACGGCUCAACCGUGGAACUGCUUGGCAUACUGGCGGUCUUGAGCAACCUAGGGGCGAGCGGAACAAAUGGUGGAGCGGUGAAAUGCGUAGAUAUCAUUUGGAACGCCAAUGGUGAAAACAGCUCGCUGGGGGUUUGCUGACGCUGAGACACGAAAGCCGGGGGAGCAAACGGG
rnacentral:rRNA from 1 species